rnacentral:rRNA from 1 species
UACAGAGGUCUCAAGCGUUGUUCGGAUUCAUUGGGAGUAAAGGGUGCGUAGGGGGUGGGGUAAGUCGGAUGUGAAAUCCCGGGGCUCAACCCCGGAACUGCAUUCGAAACUGCCUUGCUCGAGUACUGGAGAGGAGACUGGAAUUUACGGUGUAGCAGUGAAAUGCGUAGAUAUCGUAAGGAAGACCAGUGGCGAAGGCGAGUCUCUGGACAGUUACUGACACUGAGGCACGAAGGCCAGGGGAGCAAACGGG